AUCUAGCUGACGAGUCCUAAAUAGGAUGAAACAUGGGUCAUAGAU
rfam:Schistosoma margrebowiei strain Zambia genome assembly, scaffold: SMRZ_scaffold0000049